rnacentral:lncRNA from 1 species
AUUUUUAAGCAAAGAAACAGUUGAUUUUUAGAGGGAUUGAUAAGAUAUUGACUCCUGAAUGGUCCAAAACAACCAAAAUGGCAUGUCCCUAGACCGCCUGUUCAACAUUCAUACUCUAAAAUAUCGUAAAAAAAUGAAGAAAUAAAUGUUUUUUUUUACUUUACAUAAGUUCUUUAAUAAUUCAAAAGUAUGUUCAGAGCCAACAUAUUCUAAUAAACACA